rnacentral:rRNA from 1 species
UACGGAGGGUGCGAGCGUUGUUCGGAAUCACUGGGCGUAAAGCGCACGUAGGCGGAUUUUUAAGUCAGGGGUGAAAUCCCGGGGCUCAACCUCGGAACUGCCUUUGAUACUGGAGAUCUUGAGUCCGGAAGAGGUAAGUGGAACUGCGAGUGUAGAGGUGAAAUUCGUAGAUAUUCGCAAGAACACCAGUGGCGAAGGCGGCUUACUGGUCCGGAACUGACGCUGAGGUGCGAAAGCGCGGGGAGCAAACAGG